UUUGUCUCUGAGACUAAGCCAUGCAUGUCUAAGUAUAAAUUAAUUUUUACGGUGAAACUGCGGACGGCUCAUUAAAUCAGUUAUAACCUACUUGAUCGUGUGGCUUUAUUCGGAUAACCCUAGUAAUUCUAGAGCUAAUACGUGCUAAAAGCCUUAACUUCCAGCAAUGGGGGAAGAGGUGUAUUUAUUAGAAACUAAAACCAAUCAGCUUCGGCUGUUUGAGAUGAUUCAUAAUAACUCGGCAAAUUACGGGAAAAUUCCUGUGAUGAUUCAAACGGAUUUCUGACCUAUCAACUUUAGAUGGCAAAGUAGGGGUUUGCCAUGGUGACAACGGGUGACGGGGAAUUAGGUUUCGAUUCCGGAGAGGGAGCCUGAGAAACGGCUACCACUUCCGAGGAAGGCAGCAGGCGCGCAAAUUACCCAAUGCUAAUUCGGCGAGGUAGUGACAAGAAAUACCAAUGUAGGACCCAACGGGUACUACGUUUGGAAUGAGAACAAUUUAAAAACCUUAACGAGGAACAAUUGGAGGGCAAGUCUGGUGCCAGCAGCCGCGGUAAUUCCAGCUCCAAUAGUGUAUAUUAAAGUUGCUGCGGUUAAAAAGCUCGUAGUUGGAUUACGAAGUGGUGUUUAAAUGUCAUUUUGGUUUGUUUGUCUUUCGGGGCAUUCAGGUCAACUUGGCUUUUACUCACUGUUGUCAUUGUCUUUGCCCAAGGUAUAUGCCUUGUGUGCAUGGCAUUGACCUUCUAUUUUAUGGUAAUGUUGUAUCUUUCGGGGUACAUUCAUUCCAUAUAGUUUACUUUGAAAAAAUUAGGGUGUUUAAAGCAGGCGAAAAGGCUUCGGAAUAUAUUAGCAUGGGAUAAUAGAAUACGAUCUAGGUCGUAAUUUGUUGGUUUCUACGGCUUAGGUAAUGAUUGACAGGGAUAGUUGGGGUCGCUCGUAUUGAGUUGUCAGAGGUGAAAUUCUAGGAUUAACUCAAGACGAACUAAUGCGAAAGCAUUCGGCAAGGAUGUUUUCACUAAUCAAGAACGAAAGUUGGGGGAUCGAAGAUGAUCAGAUACCGUCGUAGUCUCAACUGUAAACUAUGUCGACCGAGGAUCCGGUAGCGUUACAUGGAUGACCUUCCGGGCACUCUGUGAGAAAUCAUAAGUAUUUGGAUUUCGGGGGGAGUAUGGUCGCAAGGCUGAAACUUAAAGGGAUUGACGGAAGGGCACCACCAGGAGUGGAAUCUGCGGCUUAAUUUGACCCAACACGGGAAAACUUACCAGGUCCGGACACAGUGAGGAUUGACAGAUUGAGAGCUCUUUCUUGAUUUUGUGGGUGGUGGUGCAUGGCCGUUUUUAGUUGGUGGAGUGAU
rnacentral:rRNA from 1 species